AUUGAACGCUGGCGGCAGGCCUAACACAUGCAAGUCGAGCGGAUGAAGGGAGCUUGCUCCUGGAUUCAGCGGCGGACGGGUGAGUAAUGCCUAGGAAUCUGCCUGGUAGUGGGGGAUAACGUCCUGAAACGGGCGCUAAUACCGCAUACGUCCUGAGGGAGAAAGUGUGAGAUCUUCGGACCUCACGCUAUCAUAUGAGCCUAGGUCGGAUUAGCUAGUUGGUGGGGUAAAGGCCUACCAAGGCGACGAUCCGUAACUGGUCUGAGAGGAUGAUCAGUCACACUGGAACUGAGACACGGUCCAGACUCCUACGGGAGGCAGCAGUGGGGAAUAUUGGACAAUGGGCGCAAGCCUGAUCCAGCCAUGCCGCGUGUGUGAAGAAGGUCUUCGGAUUGUAAAGCCCUUUAAGUUGGGAGGAAGGGCAGUAAGUUAAUACCUUGCUGUUUUGACGUUACCAACAGAAUAAGCACCGGCUAACUUCGUG
rnacentral:rRNA from 1 species